GACGAACGCUGGCGGCGUGCUUAACACAUGCCAGUCGAACGGAAAGGCCCUGCAUUUGUGGGGUGCUCGAGUGGCGAACGGGUGAGUAACACGUGAGUAACCUGCCCUUGACUUUGGGAUAACUUCAGGAAACUGGGGCUAAUAUCGGAUAGGAGCUCCUGCUGCAUGGUGGGGGUUGGAAAGUUUCGGCGGUUGGGGAUGGACUCGCGGCUUAUCAGCUUGUUGGUGGGGUGGUGGAUUACCAAGGCUUUGACGGGUAGCCGGCCUGAGAGGGUGACAGGCCACAUUGGGACUGAGAUACGGCCCAGACUCCUACGGGAGGCAGCAGUGGGGAAUAUUGCACAAUGGGCGGAAGCCGGAUGCAGCAACGCCGCGUGCGGGAUGACGGCCUUCGGGUUGUAAACCGCUUUCGCCUGUGACGAAGCGUGAGUGACGGUAAUGGGUAAAGAAGCACCGGCUAACUACGUG
rnacentral:rRNA from 1 species